UACGAAGGGGGCUAGCGUUGCUCGGAAUCACUGGGCGUAAAGGGCGCGUAGGCGGCCGUUUAAGUCGGGGGUGAAAGCCUGUGGCUCAACCACAGAAUUGCCUUCGAUACUGGAUGGCUUGAGACCGGAAGAGGUAAGUGGAACUGCGAGUGUAGAGGUGAAAUUCGUAGAUAUUCGCAAGAACACCAGUGGCGAAGGCGGCUUACUGGUCCGGAUCUGACGCUGAGGCGCGAAAGCGUGGGGAGCAAACAGG
rnacentral:rRNA from 1 species